rnacentral:rRNA from 1 species
UCUACGGGACGCAGCAGUAGGGAAUAUUCCGCAAUGGGCGAAAGCCUGACGGAGCAACGCCGCGUGAGUGAAGAAGGUCUUCGGAUCGUAAAGCUCUGUCAACAGGGACGAAACAAGACGGUACCUGAGAAGGAAGCCACGGCAAACUACGUGCCAGCAGCCGCGGUAAUACGUAGGUGGCAAGCGUUGUCCGGAAUAACUGGGCGUAAAGCGCAUGUAGACGGCAUGAUAAGCCAAAUGUGAAAUGUAGGGGCUCAACCCCUACACUGCGAUUGGAACUGUCAAGCUUGAGUGCAGGAGAGGCAAAUGGAAUUCCCAGUGUAGCAGUGAAAUGCGUAGAGAUUGGGAGGAACACCAGUGGCGAAGGCGAUUUGCUGGACUGCAACUGACGUUGAGAUGCGAAAGCCAGGGGAGCAAACGGGAUUAGAUACCCCGGUAGUCCUGGCCGUAAACGAUGGAUACUAGGUGUAGAGGGUAUCGACCCCUUCUGUGCCGCAGUGAACGCAAUAAGUAUCCCGCCUGGGGAGUACGGUCGCAAGACUGAAACUCAAAGGAAUUGACGG